CUUUCAUCAGUGUGUUUCUGCAGAUAACGACGAGUAGGAUAAAACCUAGAAACACUGGAGGCUAAUGCUAGCAGUGGGCUAAUGCUAGCAGUGGGCUAACGCUAGCAGUGGGCUAACACUAGCAGUGGGCUAAAGUUACACAUCUGAAAUGUCAUGUUGCUGUGUUGUUGGGUGCCAGAAUCCAGAUAUCACAACAUUUGAGAUGAAAAACUGUGAUUUGCCGUUGGCUGUUAGCAUAAGGCUAAACUAUUAGCAACCCUUUCUCUCCGUCUCUGAAACGUUUCAUUGAUAUUGUCCGACUCUCUUUUUGACUAACUUUACUGAAGGAUAGUUAACUAUAGGCAUCUAAAGAUUUAUACACCCUCAAUUUGUCUUUACAGCGCCGCCGUUGGCCACCAGCCCGCUGGUCGGACGGCUGGCUACUUAGCUAGCUACCAUGCUAAUUCCACCAUGCUACAGGAAAUGAGCCCAACAGCGGAAAGUGCCGGGUCACGGUCCCUCCGCCUCAAUUCUCGCUGCCAGGAGACUACUUCACCGGGAGGAGGGCAGGCGUUAGCUAGCUAGCUUGUCAGUCUCUGGACAAGCUAGCUAGCUAACUAGGUCAGGUGAGCGCACUCCUUCUUCAGCUCGGUGUUUCGUCUCAACAGCCGCCGCUUCUCCUCCUGCCUCACUACACAACAACACAACAACACACACCUCAUCAGUACAGACAGGUAAGAGAGGCGUGACAUCACCAGUCAUGUGACCUACCUUCCAGCAGAAAUCCUCCGAGUCUUGCAUGUAAAUGAAGCAGAGCAGAUGUUAGUGGCAGCAGAGACACGCAGGUGAGAGGAGAAGCCAUGCAGCGGGACGGGGUUAGCUUAGCUUAGCAUAAAGACUGGAAGCGGAGGGAAACUGCUAGCCUGGCUCUGUCCAAAGCCGGUCAAACAUACACUGACCAACAUCUUUUCCGAAACAUUAGUUUGAAGUGAAUAGUUGUAUUUAUAUGUUUAUGAUGAUAUACACGUAGAAAAACUUUUAUUAGAAAUAUGAAGUUGUUAAAUAAGAGAGCUAUGUUAUUGAUGAUUUUAUAAUCAAAUAUGUAUUUAUGUUUUUUUGUUUUUUCUAUUAUUCUUAUUAAUCCUUUGUUGUUUGUUGAUCAAGAGAUUUCUAGUCUCCUUGUUAAAUAAAACAAGUUUUCAGUAACUUCUUAAGUUCUUCUUCUACAGAACAGUAAUCAAACUAAUCUGAGUAAUCUGUGAGCUCAGCUUCAUAUCAUUUAGGACGGCGUAUCAGAGCCACUGUAGGUAGAAUUAAAUAAAUUACGCCGCCGAGGGAGGAUGGUAAUAUUCAGAGAAAAAAAAUCUGAAUUUACCAGAUUAAAGUCACACAUUUACAAGAAAAAAACUCAGAAAAAUAUUGUUGUUUUUUUUUCAAGGUUGUUCAAAGUCAUCACACCAAAGACACCGCCGCUUGUUGUGUAUCAUACCUGCACUGAAUGACCUCGUCAUAUUAUACUUUGUAAUCGGAUUUAUUAAUAAGGAAAUACUGGUGAUUUGAUUCUAAACAUUUUUCUAUUUAACAACCUAAACAAAGAUAUUAAAAUGUAUUCAGUCUUAUAAAACUACUGAAAUCACGCUGAAAGGUUUAAAUGUGUUAAACAUCAUCACGCUGCUCUGAGAGCCACGUUUCAGUUUGUGCUUCGUUAGUUUAGUGUGAUCAUCAUGUUUAGGUGUUUAUGUUUGGUGUGAUCAUCAUGUUUAGGUGUUUAUGUUUGGUUAGUUCAGUGUGAUCAUCAUGUUUAGGUGUUUAUGUUUGGUGUGAUCAUCAUGUUUAGGUGUUUAUGUUUGGUUAGUUCAGUGUGAUCAUCAUGUUUAGGUGUUUAUGUUUGGUGUGAUCAAUCAUCAUGUUUAGGUGUUUAUGUUUGGUGUGAUCAUCAUGUUUAGGUGUUUAUGUUUGGUGUGAUCAUCAUGUUUAGGUGUUUAUGUUUGGUGUGAUCAUCAUGUUUAGGUGUUUAUGUUUGGUUAGUUCAGUGUGAUCAUCAUGUUUAGGUGUUUAUGUUUGGUGUGAUCAAUCAUCAUGUUUAGGUGUUUAUGUUUGGUGUGAUCAUCAUGUUUAGGUGUUUAUGUUUGGUGUGAUCAUCAUGUUUAGGUGUUUAUGUUUGGUGUGAUCAUCAUGUUUAGGUGUUUAUGUUUGGUGUGAUCAUCAUGUUUAGGUGUUUAUGUUUGGUGUGAUCAUCAUGUUUAGGUGUUUAUGUUUGGUGUGAUCAUCAUGUUUAGGUGUUUAUGUUUGGUGUGAUCAUCAUGUUCAGUAGUUAGUGUUUUUACCUCGUGCCGACAAGAAGAGCGAGCUGUUCAGGUAAUGAGACGGCAGUCGUUUACGCUGCAGACACACGACAGGGACACAAGUUUCAGUCAGGGUUAUUAUAGGAAAGUAAAAUAAAAAUAAGCACAGCAAAUAAUGUUCGUAAAUUGAAAUAAAAUAAAAAAAAGAUUUCCUUUGAAAAAAACUAAACUGAAACAAUAUUUCCAGAUUAAAAUAUAUAUAUAU